rnacentral:rRNA from 1 species
AACGAACGCUGGCGGCAUGCCUAACACAUGCAAGUCGAACGAAGGCUUCGGCCUUAGUGGCGCACGGGUGCGUAACGCGUGGGAAUCUGCCCUUGGGUUCGGAAUAACUCAGAGAAAUUUGAGCUAAUACCGGAUGAUGACGUAAGUCCAAAGAUUUAUCGCCCAAGGAUGAGCCCGCGUAAGAUUAGCUAGUUGGUGGGGUAAAGGCCUACCAAGGCGACGAUCUUUAGCUGGUCUGAGAGGAUGAUCAGCCACACUGGGACUGAGACACGGCCCAGACUCCUACGGGAGGCAGCAGUGGGGAAUAUUGGACAAUGGGCGAAAGCCUGAUCCAGCAAUGCCGCGUGAGUGAUGAAGGCCUUAGGGUUGUAAAGCUCUUUACCAGGGAUGAUAAUGACAGUACCUGGAGAAUAAGCUCCGGCUAACUCCGUG